CAAGUCGAACGAUGAACCCGGAGCUUGCUCCGGCGGAUUAGUGGCGAACGGGUGAGUAACACGUGAGUAACCUGCCCUUGACUCUGGGAUAACUGCUAGAAAUGGUAGCUAAUACCGGAUACGACCCUCGGCGGCAUCGCCAGGGGGUGGAAAGAAUUUCGGUCAAGGAUGGACUCGCGGCCUAUCAGCUAGUUGGUGAGGUAACGGCUCACCAAGGCGACGACGGGUAGCCGGCCUGAGAGGGUGACCGGCCACACUGGGACUGAGACACGGCCCAGACUCCUACGGGAGGCAGCAGUGGGGAAUAUUGCACAAUGGGCGCAAGCCUGAUGCAGCAACGCCGCGUGAGGGAUGACGGCCUUCGGGUUGUAAACCUCUUUUAGUAGGGAAGAAGCGAAAGUGACGGUACCUGCAGAAAAAGCACCGGCUAACUACGUGCCAGCAGCCGCGGUAAUACGUAGGGUGCAAGCGUUGUCCGGAAUUAUUGGGCGUAAAGAGCUCGUAGGCGGUUUGUCGCGUCUGCUGUGAAAUCCCGAGGCUCAACCUCGGGCCUGCAGUGGGUACGGGCAAACUAGAGUGUGGUAGGGGAGAUUGGAACUCCUGGUGUAGCGGUGGAAUGCGCAGAUAUCAGGAAGAACACCGAUGGCGAAGGCAGAUCUCUGGGCCAUUACUGACGCUGAGGAGCGAAAGCGUGGGGAGCGAACAGGAUUAGAUACCCUGGUAGUCCACGCCGUAAACGUUGGGAACUAGAUGUAGGGUCCAUUCCACGGAUUCUGUGUCGCAGCUAACGCAUUAAGUUCCCCGCCUGGGGAGUACGGCCGCAAGGCUAAAACUCAAAGGAAUUGACGG
rnacentral:rRNA from 1 species